AGUGGCGAACGGGUGAGUAAUGCAUCGGAACGUAUCCUUAAGUGGGGGAUAACGCAUCGAAAGAUGCGCUAAUACCGCAUAAUCUCUGAGGAGAAAAGCAGGGGAUCGCAAGACCUUGCGCUUUUGGAGCGGCCGAUGUCUGAUUAGCUAGUUGGUGAGGUAAAGGCUUACCAAGGCUUCGAUCAGUAGCUGGUCUGAGAGGACGACCAGCCACACUGGGACUGAGACACGGCCCAGACUCCUACGGGAGGCAGCAGUGGGGAAUUUUGGACAAUGGGGGAAACCCUGAUCCAGCCAUGCCGCGUGAGUGAAGAAGGCCUUCGGGUUGUAAAGCUCUUUCAGCCGGAACGAAAAGGUUACGGUUAAUACCCGUGACUAAUGACGGUACCGGAAGAAGAAGCACCGGCUAACUACGUGCCAGCAGCCGCGGUAAUACGUAGGGUGCGAGCGUUAAUCGGAAUUACUGGGCGUAAAGCGUGCGCAGGCGGUUUUGUAAGUCAGAUGUGAAAUCCCCGGGCUCAACCUGGGAACUGCGUUUGAAACUACAAGGCUAGAGUGUGGCAGAGGGGGGUGGAAUUCCACGUGUAGCAGUGAAAUGCGUAGAGAUGUGGAGGAACACCGAUGGCGAAGGCAGCCCCCUGGGUUAACACUGACGCUCAGGCACGAAAGCGUGGGGGAGCAAACAGGAUUAGAUACCCUGGUAGUCCACGCCCU
rnacentral:rRNA from 1 species